ACAAUAAUCAAUAAAACAUCAGAGAUCUUAUAGAUCUACAUUAAAAAUACAAAAAGAUUGAAUUUUUCACCUCGGGAAUGAAGGAAGAAGUUCCUUUACCUUGAAUCUAUGUUAUUACACUCAAAUAUAUAAGAGAUCUACCUAACAAAUGCUAGAUCUAUGUGAAAUCUAGAGAUUUUUCACCCCCCAAAUUCGAGCUCCUCUC
rnacentral:lncRNA from 1 species